GGGCCCGUAGCUCAGUUGGGAGAGCGCCUGCUUCGCAUGUAGGAGGUCGCCAGUUCGAAUCUGGUCGGGUCCAUCA
rnacentral:tRNA from 8 species